UACGUAGGGACCAAGCGUUGUUCGGAUUUACUGGGCGUAAAGGGCGCGUAGGCGGCAUGACAAGUCACUUGUGAAAUCUCCGGGCUCAACUGGGAGAGGUCAAGGGAAACUACCAGGCUAGAGUGCGGUAGAGGUAGCUGGAAUUCCCGGUGUAGCGGUGAAAUGCGUAGAUAUCGGGAGGAAUACCUAUGGCGAAAGCAGGCUACUGGACCGUCACUGACUCUGAUCUGCGAAAGCUAGGGGGAGCAAACAGG
rnacentral:rRNA from 1 species